CUCAUUAAGGUGGGUGGAAUAGUAUAACAAUGUUGUUCCUAAUGUUGUUAUAGUAUCCCACCUACCCUGAUGUA
rfam:Salmo salar isolate Sally breed double haploid chromosome ssa09, whole genome shotgun sequence.